rnacentral:rRNA from 1 species
ACUCCUACGGGAGGCAGCAGUGGGGAAUUUUGGACAAUGGGCGAAAGCCUGAUCCAGCAAUGCCGCGUGAGUGAAGAAGGCCUUCGGGUUGUAAAGCUCUUUUGUCAGGGAAGAAACGGUGAGAGCUAAUAUCUUUUGCUAAUGACGGUACCUGAAGAAUAAGCACCGGCUAACUACGUGCCAGCAGCCGCGGUAAUACGUAGGGUGCAAGCGUUAAUCGGAAUUACUGGGCGUAAAGCGUGCGCAGGCGGUUUUGUAAGUCUGAUGUGAAAUCCCCGGGCUCAACCUGGGAAUUGCAUUGGAGACUGCAAGGCUAGAAUCUGGCAGAGGGGGGUAGAAUUCCACGUGUAGCAGUGAAAUGCGUAGAUAUGUGGAGGAACACCGAUGGCGAAGGCAGCCCCCUGGGUCAAGAUUGACGCUCAUGCACGAAAGCGUGGGGAGCAAACAGGAUUAGAAACCCGAGUAGUCCC